rnacentral:rRNA from 1 species
UACGUAGGGUGCAAGCGUUGUCCGGAAUUAUUGGGCGUAAAGAGCUCGUAGGCGGCUCGUCACGUCGGCUGUGAAAACCCGGGGCUCAACCCCGGGCCUGCAGUCGAUACGGGCGAGCUAGAGUUCGGCAGGGGAGACUGGAAUUCCUGGUGUAGCGGUGAAAUGCGCAGAUAUCAGGAGGAACACCGGUGGCGAAGGCGGCAUCCUGGACCAACACUGACACUGAGGAGCGAAAGCCAGGGGAGCAAACGGG